GCUGGCCAUGGAGCACCUCGAUCCUGUCCUGGACUUCGGCCUGGCCCUGUGGCCCUGCGGGGGAUGGCAGGGCCAGGCCCUGACCUCUGGCUUGAUUUCCAGGCUGGUCUCACACUGGCUUCAUCGCUGCUGUAUUUUCUUACAGUCUAGGCUUGUGCUUCAGCCUGGCUUUUUUUUCCAGGUCUGUCUUGCUUUCCAUGCCUGGAGUGGUGGGACAAGCCUAAGCAGCAUAUUGCUUCCUGGUGUGGCACAACAGAGCUAUUCCACUCACAGCUGGAGCUUAGCUGGCAGCCAGAUGUUCAGUAACAGGAAGGAACUAUUUGCCAUUUGAGCAGCAGAAACUUCUGUGAGCAGUUCAGUUGCAGCACCUGAAAAAUGAGACAUUU